UCUAGAUUUGGCGAUUUUUGUAGGAUUUGAAGUGGCUAGGGUUAGGUUAGGUUUUGGGUUGGAAUGGUGGUUGAUGUUAAUGGAAAUGUAGAAGUUAUGAAUUGUGCCAUAUGGUCGAAGUUUUGUUUCUAAAAUUUAUUUUGAUAUUUGAUUUAGAACGAUGGUGCACCAUCCGCGGUAUCCACUCCUUGAGAUGUUCUACGAUGAGCACCACCGUGGGAGGAAGCUUGAAGAGCGUGUAGAGGUUUUGAACCCUUUACGACCCCGCACUCACACUCCUCUAGAGUGGGAUGAUAGGUACACCCCGUACCUUCGACGGGCGGGUUUCCUCCUGCUUGCAACAUUGGUGAAGGCGGGGCUACCGAAGGCGGAUAAUGCUGCCCUAACAGUGCUAGUCGACCGGUUUCCACCUUCCCUCCGAUGAGAUGACAAUCACACUUGAGGACGUAUCCAUGCUUUUUGGGCUUCGUGUGGACGGGCGAGUGGUGACUGGGAACAUAAAUCUGGUUGGAUGGAGGGACACAUGCAUUUGUUGCUUGGAGUCCGGUCUGAAGAUCCUCCUCAGGAUGUGAAGGAUAGGAAAACUAUAGGAGUGAGUUCAGCUUAGCUGGUCCAGCACUUUUGCAUCGCCCACCUGCUACUACUCAGGAGGGAGUUGUUGCUAGGUACGCCUGUGCAUGGUUGCGGCAUAUGGUGUCUGGGUUCCUAUUCCCCGAUUCUAGUGGGAACACCAUUUCUUAGAUGUGGCUACCAAUCAUUGGGCAAGAGUGGGAGAACAUUCGAACUUAUAGCUAGGGGACUGCAACUCUUGCAUGGUUGUAUCGUCAGAUGUGUGAUGCCUGCAGGAGGGCUGGGGCUAAUGCUAAUCUUGGUGGAUGUGCCUACCUUCUCCAAUUGUGGAUGUGGGAGUGCCUUCCAAUAGAUUGGCUAGAACGCCACACAUAUGGUAUGUACGUACUAUGCAACCCAAUAUAACUUGUUUCCAAGUAUUUGUUAUUUUAGCAA